rnacentral:rRNA from 1 species
UGUCGUGAGGCAUGCUGGAGGUAUCAGAAGUGCGAAUGCUGACAUAAGUAACGAUAAAGCGGGUGAAAAGCCCGCUCGCCGGAAGACCAAGGGUUCCUGUCCAACGUUAAUCGGGGCAGGGUGAGUCGACCCCUAAGGCGAGGCCGAAAGGCGUAGUCGAUGGGAAACGGGUUAAUAUUCCCGUACUUGGUGUUACUGCGAAGGGGGGACGGAGAAGGCUAUGUUGGCCGGGCGACGGUUGUCCCGGUUUAAGCGUGUAGGUGUGUGUUCCAGGUAAAUCCGGUUCACUUUAACACUGAGGCGUGACGACGAGGCACUACGGUGCUGAAGCAACAAAUGCCCUGCUUCCAGGAAAAGCCUCUAAGCAUCAGGUAACAUCAAAUCGUACCCCAAACCGACACAGGUGGUCAGGUAGAGAAUACCAAGGCGCUUGAGAGAACUCGGGUGAAGGAACUAGGCAAAAUGGUGCCGUAACUUCGGGAGAAGGCACGCUGACACGUAGGUGAAGUGAUUUACUCAUGGAGCUGAAGUCAGUCGAAGAUACCAGCUGGCUGCAACUGUUUAUUAAAAACACAGCACUGUGCAAACACGAAAGUGGACGUAUACGGUGUGACGCCUGCCCGGUGCCGGAAGGUUAAUUGAUGGGGUCAGCGCAAGCGAAGCUCCUGAUCGAAGCCCCGGUAAACGGCGGCCGUAACUAUAACGGUCCUAAGGUAGCGAAAUUCCUUGUCGGGUAAGUUCCGACCUGCACGAAUGGCGUAAUGAUGGCCAGGCUGUCUCCACCCGAGACUCAGUGAAAUUGAACUCGCUGUGAAGAUGCAGUGUACCCGCGGCAAGACGGAAAGACCCCGUGAACCUUUACUAUAGCUUGACACUGAACAUUGAGCCUUGAUGUGUAG